rnacentral:rRNA from 1 species
AUUGAACGCUGGCGGCAGGCUUAACACAUGCAAGUCGAGCGGGGGAAGGUAGCUUGCUACCGGACCUAGCGGCGGACGGGUGAGUAAUGCUUAGGAAUCUGCCUAUUAGUGGGGGACAACAUCUCGAAAGGGAUGCUAAUACCGCAUACGUCCUACGGGAGAAAGCAGGGGAACUUCGGACCUUGCGCUAAUAGAUGAGCCUAAGUCGGAUGAGCUAGUUGGGGGGGUAAAGGUCUACCAAGGCGACGAUCUGUAGCGGGUCCGAAAGGAGGAUCCGACACACUGGGACUAAGGCCAGGCCCAGAUUCCUACGGGAGGCAGCGGUGGGGAAUUUGCGACAAUGGGGGGAACCAUGGUCCAGCCAUGCCGCGUGUGUGAAGAAGGCCUUAUGGUUGUAAAGCACUUUAAGCGAGGAGGAGGCUACUCUAGUUAAUACCUAGGGAUAGUGGACGUUACUCGCAGAAUAAGCACCGGCUAACUCUGUGCCAGCCGCCGCCGCAG